rnacentral:rRNA from 1 species
GCGAAUCGCCCUUGCGCAGGCGCGAAAACUUUACAAUGCGGGAAACCGUGAUAAGGGGACACCGAGUGCCAGCAUCAUAUGCUGGCUGUCCAGGUGUGUAAAAUACACCUGUCAGCAAGGGCCGGGCAAGACCGGUGCCAGCCGCCGCGGUAACACCGGCGGCCCGAGUGGUGAUCGUGAUUAUUGGGUCUAAAGGGUCCGUAGCCGGUUUGGUCGGUCCUCCGGGAAAUCUGACGGCUCAACCGUUAGGCUUUCGGGGGAUACUGCCAGGCUUGGAACCGGGAGAGGUAAGAGGUACUACAGGGGUAGGAGUGAAAUCUUGUAAUCCCUGUGAGACCACCUGUGGCGAAGGCGUCUUACCAGAACGGGUUCGACGGUGAGGGACGAAAGCUGGGGGCACGAACCGGAUUAGAUACCCGGGUAGUCCCAGCCGUAAACGAUGCUCGCUAGGUGUCAGGCAUGGCGCGACCGUGUCUGGUGCCGCAGGGAAGCCGUGAAGCGAGCCACCUGGGAAGUACGGCCGCAAGGCUGAAACUUAAAGGAAUUGGCGGGGGAGCAC